UACGUAGGGGCCUAGCGUUGUCCGGAUUUAUUGGGCGUAAAGAGCUCGUAGGCGGCUCGGUUAGUCGGAUGUGAAAUCUCCACGCUCAACGUGGAGGCGCCAUCCGAUACUGCCGUGGCUUGAGUCCGGUAGGGGAGUGUGGAAUUCCCGGUGUAGCGGUGAAAUGCGCAGAUAUCGGGAGGAACACCCGUAGCGAAGGCGGCACUCUGGGCCGGUACUGACGCUGAGGAGCGAAAGCGUGGGGAGCAAACAGG
rnacentral:rRNA from 1 species